rnacentral:rRNA from 1 species
ACGCAUCCUUUGCUGAGGAUACGGUUAACGGAGCGAAAGCGACGUUCAACCGCAAAAGAAGCAGAGGGGGCUUAGUGGUGGGGUGACUGCGUACCUUUUGUAUAAUGGGUCAGCGACUUAUAUUCUGUAGCAAGGUUAACCGUAUAGGGGAGCCGGAGGGAAACCGAGUCUUAACCGGGCGUUAAGUUGCAGGGUAUAGACCCGAAACCCGGUGAUCUAGCCAUGGGCAGGUUGAAGGUUGGGUAACACUAACUGGAGGACCGAACCGACUAAUGUUGAAAAAUUAGCGGAUGACCUGUGGCUGGGGGUGAAAGGCCAAUCAAACCGGGAGAUAGCUGGUUCUCCCCGAAAGCUAUUUAGGUAGCGCCUCGUGAAUUCAUCUCCGGGGGUAGAGCACUGUUUCGGCUAGGGGGCCAUCCCGGCUUACCAACCCGAUGCAAACUGCGAAUACCGGAGAAUGUUAUCACGGGAGACACACGGCGGGUGCUAACGUCCGUCGUGAAGAGGGAAACAACCCAGACCGCCAGCUAAGGUCCCAAAGUCAUGGUUAAGUGGGAAACGAUGUGGGAAGGCCCAGACAGCCAGGAUGUUGGCUUAGAAGCAGCCAUCAUUUAAAGAAAGCGUAAUAGCUCACUGGUCGAGUCGGCCUGCGCGGAAGAUGUAACGGGGCUAAACCAU